AUUCGGGACUACAUUAGGGAAACCGAUGCUAAUACCGGAUGUGCCGAGAGGUGAAAGGCUAGCCGCCUGAAGAAGAGCUCGCGUCUGAUUAGCUAGUUGGUGGUGUAAGGGACUACCAAGGCGACGAUCAGUAGCUGGUCUGAGAGGAUGAUCAGCCACACUGGAACUGAGACACGGUCCAGACUCCUACGGGAGGCAGCAGUGGGGAAUUUUCCGCAAUGGGCGAAAGCCUGACGGAGCAAUACCGCGUGAGGGAGGAAGGCUCUUGGGUUGUAAACCUCUUUUCUCAAGGAAGAAGUUCUGACGGUACUUGAGGAAUCAGCAUCGGCUAACUCCGUGCCAGCAGCCGCGGUAAUACGGAGGAUGCAAGCGUUAUCCGGAAUGAUUGGGCGUAAAGCGUCCGCAGGUGGUUGUGUGUGUCUAUUGUCAAAGCAUCAUGCUUAACAUGAUAAAGGCAGUAGAAACUACACGACUAGAGUGCGUUCGGGGCAGAGGGAAUUCCUGGUGUAGCGGUGAAAUGCGUAGAGAUCAGGAAGACACCGGUGGCGAAAGCGCUCUGCUAGGCCGCAACUGACACUGAGGGACGAAAGCUAGGGGAGCGAAUGGGAUGGGAUCCCCCCGUGUUAAAA
rnacentral:rRNA from 1 species